rnacentral:rRNA from 1 species
UACGUAGGGUGCAAGCGUUGUCCGGAAUUAUUGGGCGUAAAGAGCUUGUAGGCGGUUUGUCGCGUCUGCUGUGAAAUUUCGGGGCUCAACCCCGAACUUGCAGUGGGUACGGGCAGACUAGAGUGUGGUAGGGGAGACUGGAAUUCCUGGUGUAGCGGUGAAAUGCGCAGAUAUCAGGAGGAACACCGAUGGCGAAGGCAGGUCUCUGGGCCAUAACUGACGCUGAGAAGCGAAAGUGUGGGGAGCGAACAGG